rnacentral:tRNA from 1 species
GCCUGGGUGGCUCAGUCAGUUAAGCAUCUGUCUUCGGCUCAGGUCAUGGUCCUGGGUUCCUGGGAUCGAGUCCCGCCUCAGGCU